AGAGCGAGACUCUGCCUUAAAAAAAAAAAAUAUGGAAAGAUAUGUUUGUGAGUUAGAAAUGGAAUACCUUAUUUCAACAGGGUCAAAAUGCACUAAAAAAGGAGAGAAACAUAGCUUUGACUGUAGCACAAUUAGAUUUCUGUUCAACAGAGGACACCAUAAAAUUAAAAGGUAGAUGACAGACUGUGGACGGUUGCAACUUUUAGGGGCCAAGGCAAACCUUCCCUUUGCUCUCUGAAGGUUCCCUCAAAAUCAACUGACAAAAGUCCCAGAUUAAUAGGAGAAAAGCCAUCCAAAUGUAUUAAUGUGCAUGGAGGGCGGGGGAGGGAAUCACAGAGUAAUUACCCACCAUGCCAUGGAGUACAGAUGCUUCUAUAUCCUUUUUCAUAGGGGAAGGGGGGAGAUGGGGAAAUAUAGACAAUUCAUCUGAGGGGCAGUAAAUAAUUAUUAGGGAGAAUGAAUGGACCCAAGGCAGAAAUUAACUUGUAAAUAAUUCCCUUUAGAAUUUGAAUGAGCCUGAGAAGCAGGCAUUAUCUUGUGGAAAAGUCCAUCCAGGUGUGGUUGCAUUCUUCUGUCUUUUCCACAAUAGCAGGUCUGAGGUCAACCAGUGUGAAGACUGCCCAUCCAUCCAGAAACACACUCAGAACCAAAAAUGUGGUUUCUUCAUCUCCCUGUCCCAAGUCCUGAAUUUUGGGAUGUCCCUGAGUUCUUCAUUGAUCAGUGGGCCAUGACCAGCUUUUCAAGAAGACUUGGCCUUGCCUGAAAGUACUACAGCAGCAGCAUCUGUGCAGAUGUGGGUGGUCUUUACAAUGUCAGAAGACAAGUUUUUAAACAAUAUUUUGGAUCCAUGGUUGGUUGAAUUCAUGUGGAUGGGGAACCUGAGGAUACAAAAGUAUCAAUUGCAGUGGGUAAUCUUGAAAUGCAUCAUCAGAGAAAUCUCCAACAUUAGAUUGCUGGGAUGAGGAAGCUGCCAUGGGAGCCUGGAUGAGAAAGCAAUUCAUCUUGAAAUGGAGAUUGCUAAAUGUGAGCCUUAGAGAGGAUGGAUGUCUGAGUAUGUCCGGAAUUGGUGGGUUCUUGGUCUCGCUGACUUCAAGAAUGAAGCCGCAGACCCUCGCAGUGAAUG